rnacentral:rRNA from 1 species
CCUACGGGGGGCAGCAGUGGGGAAUCUUCCGCAAUGGACGAAAGUCUGACGGAGCAACGCCGCGUGAGUGAUGACGGCCUUCGGGUUGUAAAGCUCUGUUAAUCGGGACGAAAGGCCUUCUUGCGAAUAGUUAGAAGGAUUGACGGUACCGGAAUAGAAAGCCACGGCUAACUACGUGCCAGCAGCCGCGGUAAUACGUAGGUGGCAAGCGUUGUCCGGAAUUAUUGGGCGUAAAGCGCGCGCAGGCGGAUUGGUCAGUCUGUCUUAAAAGUUCGGGGCUUAACCCCGUGAUGGGAUGGAAACUGCCAAUCUAGAGUAUCGGAGAGGAAAGUGGAAUUCCUAGUGUAGCGGUGAAAUGCGUAGAUAUUAGGAAGAACACCAGUGGCGAAGGCGACUUUCUGGACGAAAACUGACGCUGAGGCGCGAAAGCCAGGGGAGCAAACGGGAUUAGAUACCCGAGUAGUC